rnacentral:sRNA from 1 species
UGCUCCUGAAACUGGGCGUGCUCGAGCCGCAGCUGCUGCAACAGUCCAUUGACUUGGGCGAGUUCAGUACUGAGAGCCUCCUCUCGAGUAGCGGAACUAACCAGCUGUUGCUGAAGUUGGGCGAGCUCAACGCCAGUGACUGGUGUUUGGGUCUGUGCGUCGUGAAAUCCUUGGGCCUUGGCGGCAACCUCAAGGGCUCCAAAGGAGCGCCGGGCUUCUUGGAGCUCACCCUCCAUCUUGACGAUUACCCGGCCCUUUUCCUGGAUCUCGCGUGUAUGAGCCACGAUCUCCUGAUUCUUGGCCUCGAGUUCUUGGCGAAUGUCCGCAAUCUCCUUGUCCUUUCCUGCUCUGACUUCUUCGGCGUGCCUUCUCACUGCUUGGAUCUCCACCUCAAGCUCCUGCGUUCGGCUCGAGUGGGUGAUGAGGGCCGUGUUGUGCGUCUCAUUGAGUG